GAUGAACGCUGGCGGCGUGCCUAAUACAUGCAAGUCGAGCGAACAGACGAGGAGCUUGCUCCUUUGACGUUAGCGGCGGACGGGUGAGUAACACGUGGAUAACCUACCUAUAAGACUGGGAUAACUUCGGGAAACCGGAGCUAAUACCGGAUAACAUGUUGAACCGCAUGGUUCAACAGUGAAAGACGGUCUUGCUGUCACUUAUAGAUGGAUCCGCGCCGCAUUAGCUAGUUGGUAAGGUAACGGCUUACCAAGGCAACGAUGCGUACCCGACCUGAGAGGAUGAUCGGCAACACUGGAACUGAGACACGGUCCAGACUCCUACGAGAGGCAGCAGUAGGGAAUCUACCGCAAUGGACGAAAGCCUGACGGAGCAACGCCGCGUAAGUGAAGAAAGUCUUCGGAUCGUAAAGCUCUGUUAUGAGGGAAGAACAAAUGUGUAAGUAACUAUGCACGUCUUGACGGUACCUAAUAAGAAAGCCACGACUAACUACGU
rnacentral:rRNA from 1 species